AAGUCACCUUCGGGUGAUGAGUAGAGUGGCAAACGGGUGAGUAACACGUGGGCAACUUACACUUAGGCGGGGGACAACAUCGGGAAACCGUUGCUAAUACCGCAUAAUGUCCCGAGAUCGCAUGUUCUCGAGACCAAAGGUGGGGAUUCUUCGGAACCUGCCGCCUGAGAAUAGGCCCGCGCCUGAUUAGCUUGUUGGUGGGGUAACGGCUCACCAAGGCUCCGAUCAGUAGCCGACCUGAGAGGGUGACCGGCCACACUGGGAUUGAGAUACGGCCCAGACUCCUACGGGGGGCAGCAGUCUAGAAGCAUCGACAAUGGGGGAAACCCUGAUCGUGCGACGCCGUGUGCAGGACGAAGGUCUUCGGAUCGUAAACUGCUUUCGCCAGGGAAGAAUGGUCCAUAGGUUAAUAGCCUGAGGAUUUGACGGUACCUGGUAAAGAAGCUCCGGCUAAGUCCGUGCCAGCAGCCGCGGUAAUACGGGCGGAGCAAGCGUUGUUCGGAUUUAUUGGGUGUAAAGGGUGCGCAGGCGGUCGAUUAAGUCAGAAGUGAAAUGUCUACGGCUCAACCGAGACACUGCUUCUGAUACUGGUUGACUUGAGUGCGGAAGGGGAGCGUGGAAUUCCUGGUGUAGCGGUGAAAUGCGUAGAUAUCAGGAGGAACACCGGUGGCGAAGGCGACGCUCUGGUCCGUAACUGACGCUCAUGCACGAAAGCCAGGGGAGCGAACGGGAUUAGAUACCCCGGUAGUCCUGGCCGUAAACGUUGGGCACUAGGUGUGGGAGGUAUCGACCCCUUCCGUG
rnacentral:rRNA from 1 species